rnacentral:rRNA from 1 species
GACGAACGCUGGCGGCGUGCUUAACACAUGCAAGUCGAACGGAAAGGCCCCUUUGGGGGUACUCGAGUGGCGAACGGGUGAGUAACACGUGAGUAACCUGCCCUUGACUUCGGGAUAACUUCAGGAAACUGGGGCUAAUACCGGAUAGGAAUCCUUGCUGCAUGGUGGGGGUUGGAAAGCUUCGGCGGUUUUGGAUGGACUCGCGGCUUAUCAGCUUGUUGGUGGGGUAGUGGCUUACCAAGGCUUUGACGGGUAGCCGGCCUGAGAGGGCGACCGGCCACAUUGGGACUGAGAUACGGCCCAGACUCCUACGGGAGGCAGCAGUGGGGAAUAUUGCACAAUGGGCGGAAGCCUGAUCCAGCAACGCCGCGUGCGGGAUGACGGCCUUCGGGUUGUAAACCGCUUUCAGCAGGGGCGAAGCUUGUGGUGACGGUACCUGCAGAAGAAGCACCGGCUAACUACGUG